AACGGUGCCCUUUAAAAAGAAUAGGAAGACAUUCUCAAGGUAGCAAGUGGAGGACUGAGAGUCAUUUACAUUGCCUGUCCUAGGAGAAAUGGCUUAUUUUGGACCCCAAGCUUGUGAAACAGGGCAUUUUGGAUAGAUCCAUGUGUGAGACAGAUUCUAAUUCUAGUUAGGCUCACUGUGGGCAAUUGCAUAGGGAUCCUUGUACUACCAGACUGGGGCUGAGAGCCUCAAGGUUUGUAAAUAAGCCCUGUGGUUCUGGCCAUUUUACUUGUCCUUUAGAGAGAACCACUAAUGCCCUUCCAACCUCAUAAUGAUUGCGGCGAGGAAUAUCAACAAGGAAAUCUCCGUUCAACAGAAGAGAGCUUUGAGGAAAGAGAAGCUAAGAAAGGGAGUAAAUAUGCAUUUACUUAUCAGUUGGCUUUGAACUUGGAAUAGAAAAGGAACAUGAUUACUCUAAAACCUCAGUCUCAAACUCAAAAAGCCGUUAAAAAAGAAAACAAUAAAUAAAACUUCUAUCAAGUCUCAAGACUUCUCUCAUCAUUGAAAGUCACGCCUCAAGACUAAUUUAGAUGGAAAUCAGAUGGAAAGCCUGAUGCUGCAGUUUGUUGAAUUAUAAG